ACGCAUGCAAGUCGAGGGGCAGCAUGGUCUUUGCUUGCUAAGGCCGAUGGCGACCGGCGCACGGGUGAGUAACACGUAUCCAACCUGCCGUCUACUCUUGGACAGCCUUCUGAAAGGAAGAUUAAUACAAGAUGGCAUCAUGAGUCCGCAUGUUCACAUGAUUAAAGGUAUUCCGGUAGACGAUGGGGAUGCGUUCCAUUAGAUAGUAGGCGGGGUAACGGCCCACCUAGUCUUCGAUGGAUAGGGGUUCUGAGAGGAAGGUCCCCCACAUUGGAACUGAGACACGGUCCAAACUCCUACGGGAGGCAGCAGUGAGGAAUAUUGGUCAAUGGGCGAGAGCCUGAACCAGCCAAGUAGCGUGAAGGAUGACUGCCCUAUGGGUUGUAAACUUCUUUUAUAAAGGAAUAAAGUCGGGUAUGGAUACCCGUUUGCAUGUACUUUAUGAAUAAGGAUCGGCUAACUCCGUGCCAGCAGCCGCGGUAAUACGGAGGAUCCGAGCGUUAUCCGGAUUUAUUGGGUUUAAAGGGAGCGUAGAUGGAUGUUUAAGUCAGUUGUGAAAGUUUGCGGCUCAACCGUAAAAUUGCAGUUGAUACUGGAUAUCUUGAGUGCAGUUGAGGCAGGCGGAAUUCGUGGUGUAGCGGUGAAAUGCUUAGAUAUCACGAAGAACUCCGAUUGCGAAGGCAGCCUGCUAAGCUGCAACUGACAUUGAGGCUCGAAAGUGUGGGUAUCAAACAGGAUUAGAUACCCUGGUAGUCCACACGGUAAACGAUGAAUACUCGCUGUUUGCGAUAUACUGCAAGCGGCCAAGCGAAAGCGUUAAGUAUUCCACCUGGGGAGUACGCCGGCAACGGUGAAACUCAAAGGAAUUGACGGGGGCCCGCACAAGCGGAGGAACAUGUGGUUUAAUUCGAUGAUACGCGAGGAACCUUACCCGGGCUUAAAUUGCAGAUGAAUUACGGUGAAAGCCGUAAGCCGCAAGGCAUCUGUGAAGGUGCUGCAUGGUUGUCGUCAGCUCGUGCCGUGAGGUGUCGGCUUAAGUGCCAUAACGAGCGCAACCCUUGUUGUCAGUUACUAACAGGUUCCGCUGAGGACUCUGACAAGACUGCCAUCGUAAGAUGUGAGGAAGGUGGGGAUGACGUCAAAUCAGCACGGCCCUUACGUCCGGGGCUACACACGUGUUACAAUGGGGGGUACAGAGGGCCGCUACCACGCGAGUGGAUGCCAAUCCCCAAAACCUCUCUCAGUUCGGACUGGAGUCUGCAACCCGACUCCACGAAGCUGGAUUCGCUAGUAAUCGCGCAUCAGCCACGGCGCGGUGAAUACGUUCCCGGGCCUUGUACACACCGCCCGUCAAGCCAUGGGAGCCGGGGGUACCUGAAGUGCGUAACCGCAAGGAGCGCCCUAGGGUAAAACUGGUGACUGGGGCU
rnacentral:rRNA from 1 species